AUUGAACGCUGGCGGCAGGCCUAACACAUGCGAGUCGAACGGUAACAGGAAGCCUCUUGUCGCUUUGCUGACGAGCGGCGGACGGGUGUGUAAUGUCUGUGAAACUCCCCGAUGGAGGGGGAUAACUACUGGAAACGGUAGCUAUUACCGCAUAACGUCCCCAGACCAAAGAGGGGGACCUUUGGGCCCCUUGCCCUCGGAUCUGCCCAGGUGGGAUUAGCUAUUAGGUGGGGUAACGGCUCACCUAGGCGACGAUCCCUAGCUGGUCUGAGAGGAUGACCAGCCACACUGGAACUGAGACACGGUCCAGACUCCUACGGGAGGCAGCAGUGGGGAAUAUUGCACAAUGGGCGCAAGCCUGAUGCAGCCAUGCCGCGUGUAUGAAGAAGGCCUUCGGGUUGUAAAGUACUUUCAGCGGGGAGGAAGGGAGUAAAGUUAAUACCUUUGCUCAUUGACGUUACCCGCAGAAGAAGCACCGGCUAACUCCGUG
rnacentral:rRNA from 1 species